rnacentral:rRNA from 1 species
UACGUAGGGUGCGAGCGUUAAUCGGAAUUACUGGGCGUAAAGCGUGCGCAGGCGGCUUCCUAAGUCAGAUGUGAAAUCCCCGGGCUUAACCUGGGAACUGCGUUUGAAACUGGGAGGCUAGAGUGCGGCAGAGGGGGGUGGAAUUCCACGUGUAGCAGUGAAAUGCGUAGAUAUGUGGAGGAACACCGAUGGCGAAGGCAGCCCCCUGGGCCAGCACUGACGCUCAUGCACGAAAGCGUGGGGAGCAAACAGG